CUCCUUUCCCCCCUGCUCAGUUGCUCUACCAAGUCGGGCAACCCCGUCUGCCCUCGCCUGAUCACCUCUGCCUCGCCUCGAAUCCCCCUCCUUUCCCCUAUCUUCACCUCACCAGCUCACCUCACCGGCGUGCGGCGUUGAAGCCAGCCUGACCCAUGGGGGUUUCCUCACGCACCCAGCUCCUCCUCCUCCUCGCGAUCUCGUCGGUUCUCGCCUUCAACCACGCAGCGGCUGCCGGCGCCGUCAUCGAGGUACGCCGCAAGUUACCGCUCCACUGUGGCGGGGGAGGUUGCCAUUACGCGGAGCACCUGGAGCACGAUGCCCGUCGCCAAGGUCGCCGCCUCUCUCCCGGCACAAAUUUCCCACUCGGCGGCAGCCCGGCAACAGAAACUGGUCUGUACUUCGCUGAGCUCACAAUUGGGAAGCCGCCGAAGGCAUACGGCAUGGAGGUGGACACCGGCAGCGGCAGCGCCCUGGUGAACUGCGUCACCCGCGACUCCUGUCCCCGCGAGGACAUCAGUGGGCUGGCAGCAACUGGGGAAGCAAGCCUCAGAUUUUGCCCUUUGUUUGGACACUUCCUAUGGUGCUGGGGUUGUUGCGACUGGAAAUAUAGUGUGUCCCGCAAUUCUGAAGACCAGCUUGGUGUCCAACAGGCUACACUACGUUGUGAAUAUGAAAUCAGUAUCAGUUGCUGGCACUACACUAGACCUGCCCAGAAAUACUUAUUAUGGCGAAGGGAAAAGUGUUGCCAUUGACAUCGGGACGACAUUGACGUAUCUGCCGGAGAAGGUUUACAAUGCCAUGAUGAUUGAGAUUUUUGAUAAACACCAAGGCACCCUUUUCUAUGACAUCCAGAACCUUCUUUAUAUCAAACAUUAUGGAAGAGUGGAUGAUGUGUUUCCUGAAAUCACCUUACAUUUUGAAGGCGGCCUUGCAUUGAACAUUUAUCCACACGAUUACCUUUUAAAUAAUGGGAGUGAUUGGUACUUUGUGGGGCUGCGAAAUGGAAGAUCUCAACCUGUUAAUUUAAGAGACAUGGUGAUUCUAGGAGGGUCGGCACUAUUUGUCACUAUAUCGUUCCUUGUUUGCUCCAUAUCCAUUUUUUUGAAUCUAAUGACACUAAACCUUCUUUUUAGAUAUGGCCUUUUCAAAUAAGCUUGUCGUCUUCGACUUGGAAAACGAAGCUGUCGGAUGGAUGGACUACAAAUGGUCCUCCGGCAUUAAUCUUGAAGAUGAGUGAAAAGUUGAGAGCCAGACUUCAAUGGUCCCGGUUGUUAGUUCAGUAAUGCAGGGUGGCUAGGCCGCAGUGAGACUGAGAGAACUCUGUUUGAGAACACUAUCGUAUCUGUACUGACAGUCUGAUGUGGCAACAAUAGCAGUGAGUUGAGUGAGGCGUGCUUAAUGC